rnacentral:rRNA from 1 species
GACGAACGCUGGCGGCGUGCUUAACACAUGCAAGUCGAACGGAAAGGCCUGCUUUCCCUUGUGGAUUGCGGGUACUCGAGUGGCGAACGGGUGAGUAACACGUGAGUUAUCUGCCCCCAACUUGGGUAUAAGCCUGGGAAACUGGGUCUAAUUCCCGAUAGUACUGCAGGGUGGUGCCUGUGGUGGAAAACGAUUUUCUAGUGGUUGGGGAUGAGCUCGCGGCCUAUCAGCUUGUUGGUGGGGUAAUGGCCUACCAAGGCGGCGACGGGUAGCCGGACUGAGGGGAUGGACGGACACAUUGGGACUGAGAUACGGCCCAGACUCGUACGGGAGGCAGGAGUGGGGAAUAUUGGACAAUGGGCGGAAGCCUGAUGCAGCGACGCCGCGUGGGGGAUGACGGCCUUGGGGUUGUAAACUCCUUUCGACCGCGAGGAAGCCACCUGGUUGGAAGGGUGGUGACGGUAGUGGUAGAAGAAGCACCGGCUAACUACGUG